rnacentral:rRNA from 1 species
CCUACGGGUGGCAGCAGUGGGGAAUAUUGCACAAUGGGGUUACCCCUGAUGCAGCGACGCCGCGUGAAGGAAGAAGUAUCUCGGUAUGUUAACUUCUAUCAGCAGGGAAGAAAAUGACGGUACCUGACUAAGAAGCCCGGGCUAACUACGUGCCAGCAGCCGCGGUUAUACGUAGGGGGGAAGCGUUAUCCGGAUUUACUGGGUGUUAAGGGGGCGUUGGGGGUUUAGCAAGUCAGAAGUGAAAGCCCGGGGCUCAACUCUGGGACCGCUUUUGAAACUGUUGAACUAGAGUGCAGGAGAGGUAAGUGGAAUUCGUGGUGUAGCGGUGAAAUGCGUAGAUAUUAGGAGGAACACCAGUGGCGAAGGCAGCUUACUGGACUGUAAAUGACGCUGAGGCACGAAAGCGUGGGGAGCGAACAGGAUUAGAUACCCGUGUAGUC